CAGCCGCCGCGGGAAUACGUAGGGUGCAAGCGUUAAUCGGAAUUACUGGGCGUAAAGCGUGCGCAGGCGGUUAUAUAAGACAGAUGUGAAAUCCCCGGGCUCAACCUGGGAACUGCAUUUGUGACUGUAUAGCUAGAGUACGGCAGAGGGGGAUGGAAUUCCGCGUGUAGCAGUGAAAUGCGUAGAUAUGCGGAGGAACACCGAUGGCGAAGGCAAUCCCCUGGGCCUGUACUGACGCUCAUGCACGAAAGCGUGGGGAGCAAACAGGAUUAGAUACCCCUGUAGUCCCUGUCUCUUAUAC
rnacentral:rRNA from 1 species